rnacentral:rRNA from 1 species
GAUGAACGCUGGCGGCGUGCCUAAUACAUGCAAGUCGAGCGAACAGACGAGGAGCUUGCUCCUCUGACGUUAGCGGCGGACGGGUGAGUAACACGUGGAUAACCUACCUAUAAGACUGGGAUAACUUCGGGAAACCGGAGCUAAUACCGGAUAAUAUAUUGAACCGCAUGGUUCAAUAGUGAAAGACGGUUUUGCUGUCACUUAUAGAUGGAUCCGCGCCGCUUUAGCUAGUUGGUAAGGUAACGGCUUACCAAGGCAACGAUGCGUAGCCGACCUGAGAGGGGGAUCGGCCACACUGGAACUGAGACACGGUCAAGACUCCUACGGGAGGCAGCAGAAGGGAAUCUUCCGCAAUGGGCGAAAGCUUGACGGAGCAACGCGGCGUGAGUGAUGAAGUUCUUCGGAUCGUAAAACUCGGUUAUUGGGGAGGAACAAAUGUGGAAGUAACUGUGCACGUCUUGACGGUACCUAAUCAGAAAGCCACGGCUAACUACGUG